rnacentral:rRNA from 1 species
UACGUAGGGACCUAGCGUUGUCCGGAAUCAUUGGGCGUAAAGCGCGCGUAGGCGGCCCGGUAAGUCCGUUGUAAAAGUCGAAGGCUCAACCUUCGAAAGCCGAUGGAUACUGCCGGGCUAGAGUACGGAAGAGGCGAGUAGAAUUCCUGGUGUAGCGGUGGAAUGCGCAGAUAUCAGGAGGAAUACCCAUAGCGAAGGCAGCUCGCUGAGACGUUACUGACGCUGAGGCGCGAAAGCGUGGGGAGCGAACAGG